UUAUUAUGAGAGUUUGAUCCUGGCUCAGGACGAACGCUGGCGGCGUGCCUAAUACAUGCAAGUCGAACGCUUCUUUCCUCCCGAGUGCUUGCACUCAAUUGGAAAGAGGAGUGGCGGACGGGUGAGUAACACGUGGGUAACCUACCCAUCAGAGGGGGAUAACACUUGGAAACAGGUGCUAAUACCGCAUAACAGUUUAUGCCACAUGGCAUAAGAGUGAAAG
rnacentral:rRNA from 1 species